rnacentral:rRNA from 1 species
GUGCCAGACGCUUCGGUGAAACUUCGGACUCAAGCACUAUUCAUAAUAGAUAGGUCUAAAUUGUUUUAUCAUUGUUAUAUUACUACUAAACAAGUAACGAUAUGACUAGAGUAUAAUAGAAGUAUUUAAGAAUUAGUAUAGUAAGGAUGAAAUCUUAUAAUAAUACUAGGACUGCUAUUAAGUGAAGACAUAAUACUAUAUAAAUACUGACAUGUAUAAACGAAGGCUUAAGUAACAAAACAGAUUAGAUACCUGCAUAGUUUAAGCUGUAAACGAUGAAUGCUAAGUGUGAAGACUAAAGCAUUUAACCGGGAGAGUAUUAGCGCAAGCUUGAAAUCCAAAACAUUAGGCGGCUUUGGACCUAAGUAGUGGAGUGUGUUAUUUAAU